AAUAAUGUUUUAUCAUUUCUUUGCAGAAGAUAGGUGUAUACAGCACCUAUCACAAAGAACCAAGGAGUGGUCACUCUUGUCUGUUAAAAUACAGCUGGGAAAGGAGUUCUUAUGUCAUGCAAUCUCCUCUGCAUGCUCAGCAAGGUAGCAGGAGUACUUCUAGAGAUGGUUCGAGCCUGCAGUUCCCUUCCAUGAUGAGCCUCCUAACCCCCUAAACUCUUGGUCAUUCAGCAUGGGAUCAGGGUUACCCUGUGCUCCCAGUUCCUCUCGUUAGAGCUGCAGCAAUGUGAAAGGUUCAUUGGGAUAGGAGCACAUAAGAGAGGUGUGGAGAGAGGAAAGGGGGAACUCAUCUGCCCUAAUUUAGAUAUUGAACAACUGGACUUCAAAGACACUGUUAGUCACCCCAGGCUCCGUUCACUGCCAGCAGAAAAGAAGAGAAACUCCAGAGAGAUACUCAUUUCCUUUCAGGAUGAGAAAUGCCUGUUUCUCUGCUGCCUGCGUGAGACAUCUAGGUAUCUAGCUACUUGAUAUAUGAAGUUAGCUGAGGUGACCCUGCAUGGCCUAUUGGUUAUGGCACUUACUGGGGAGGAGGGAGCCUGAGUUCUGGCCCCUGCUUCAGGGACUGCUUACAGACUUUGUAUAAAUUACAGGUCAUAGAGCCAUGUUCAGCCAAACAAUAAGGAAAGCAUGGUUCCCCUUCUCCCUCUACCUGGGGAGAGUGCCUUAUCACCGCAGGUAAGGUGUUGCCCAGGCAAGUGGGAGAUGUGAGUUUGAACGUCCUCCCACGGGCGACAAAAUGCAGCCCGUGUACCAACUCCCGGAGAGUGCUAACCAUGAGGCAAUUGCCUAAAAGUGGGGACCAUCUCUUCCGCAGCCCCUGGUUUGCCUGCGAGGCAGUAGCGACUCCCAUGGCAUUUUGUAAGCAGGCAGAUCCACUCAUUGCGCUUUUCCCCGGGCUCCAGAAGCCCUGGCGGGCCGGUUGCUUUAGGGGAGUUGGGCUGAAGAGCAGUUUCGGAAGCCCAGUUGCACUUGGAAGUGAGCCAGGUGCCAAAGCUUUCUGGCUUGCCAGGCCUGAGGCGUUUCGCUACCUUGGCAAGAGUGUGAGUCGAGGAUGCCUCCUCACUCAUCCACACCUGACAUUUAAGCAAAGCAAACCUGACAUCUCCCUCACAAGAGCAGCAAACCAAGUUCUUGCUGCCAUUCCCCUGGGUUUCUGCCACGUUGGACCACGGGGAUGAGGCACCAGCUGAGGGACUCGGGCCGACAGCCGCGGCAGGGCGCCGCUGUUUCCCGAAGGCUCGUGGCACGCCGGGAAAGCCUUGCAGCCAGAGGGCUGCGCUGAGGGCCGGAGGGAGGCAGAGCAGGAGGGGGAGCGACACAACACGUCGAAGCCAGAGGAAAGGAUUUUGCUUAUGUAACUUUUGACGUGUCCUAUAUAUCAUCAAGCAGCGCCGGGGAGCCUGCGCUACGCCGUGCUAUGCUAGCAGUGCUUCUUCUCGGCAGUUACCACUGAACGGCGUUACCGCCUUGUCGGAGGUUCUCCCGUCUCACGUCUACCACGUCCCUACGGGGCAGCUCCUUAGACAAGACCUGCUGCGUGGUCAUGGAGGAGCUGCGUGUGGACAGUGGCCGAGGGAAGUCACUCCUCUUCUGCUUCAGCUGCCUUGCAGGAGGAGAGAGGUCAGAUGUGUAGUUAGUGAGGCUGCAAUGGGUCCCCUCCACGUGCUCUGGGAAUACUCCGAGGAGAACAUCAAAGUUAAUGACUAGAGCUCAGGAGCCAGUCCUCCUCCUGAUUUUGGAAGGAUGCAGCGGGCUAUGAGGUGAUAAAGCAUUUCUGUUUUUCCUGUUCCUUCUGGACCGUGGAAUUCAAUGACAUCUCCUGUUCAGAAACAAAGAAGCAAACUGUCAGGUAGAAGGCUGAAGAGGAAGCUGCUACACAAAGGACCUGCUAAGACACCAUAUAUUUACACUAUAGACACAAAAGUAAGAAAUAAAGAAGGAAACAGAAGGAAAAAAGAAAAGACAUGUUGGAGGUACAAAUCAUGGCAACAUAUCUAUUUUUGAAGCAUGAACUGGCCUUUAGCAUUUCAUGUCUGCUAUGUGGUUGUUUAGUAUCUGUGCACGUCACAAGACACCAGCAGGAGUCUGCGACCAGUAAAGAGAAUGUCAGUAUAUUUAUUUAGCACUUACAUUCUAUGGUGAUCGUAAUAUGCAGUUGCUUCUUUUGACAAGGGGGAAAUAACAGAUACCUUUAAUUCCAGGUAGCCAUUCUACUGCCUGAAACAGAGGUUCUUUUCAUAAAUGGAUUCAGCCUAACUGCUUGAUCAUUAUGUGUCAAUAAAAUGUGUCACAUAAAUUUAAAACAUUAAUAAA